UACAACUGCAGUUUAAACGGCAGCACGGGAGCAAUCUGGUGGUAGUGGCGAACGGGUGAGUAUGUAUCGGAACGUGCCCAGUCGUCGGGGGAUAACGCAGCGAAAGCUGUGCUAAUACCGCAUACGAUCUAUGAGAUGAAAGCGGGGGAUCGCAAGACCUCGCGCGAUUGGAGCGGCCGAUAUCAGAUUAGUAGUUGGUGGGGUAAAGGCCCACCAAGCCGACGAAUCUGUAGCUGGUCUGAGAAGGACGACCAGCCACACUGGAAACUGAGAACACGGUCCACACUCCUACGGGAGGCAGCAGUGGGGAAUUUUGGACAAUGGGCGCAAGCCUGAUCCAGCAAUGCCGCGUGCAGGAUGAAGGCCUUCGGGUUGUAAACUGCUUUUGUACGGAACGAAACGGUGAGCUCUAAUAAAGUUUGCUAAUGACGGUACCGUAAGAAUAAGCACCGGCUAACUACGUGCCAGCAGCCGCGGUAAUACGUAGGGUGCGAGCGUUAAUCGGAAUUACUGGGCGUAAAGCGUGCGCAGGCGGUUAUGUAAGACAGAUGUGAAAUCCCCGGGCUCAACCUUGGGACCUGCAUUUGUGACUGCAUAGCUAAU
rnacentral:rRNA from 1 species